rnacentral:tRNA from 1 species
AGACGACGGUGGUGACGGUCUUGCCGCCGCCGUUGACGGUGGUGGUGAUCACUUCACGGCGCUCGCCGUGCGGCCCGGUCGACGUCUGC